CACGUAGGGUGCGAGCGUUGUCCGGAAUUAUUGGGCGUAAAGAGCUCGUAGGCGGUGUGUCGCGUCGGCCGUGAAAACCUGCAGCUUAACUGUGGGCUUGCGGUCGAUACGGGCAUCACUGGAGUUCGGCAGGGGAGACUGGAAUUCCUGGUGUAGCGGUGAAAUGCGCAGAUAUCGGGAGGAACACCAGUGGCGAAGGCGGUUGCCUGGGGCUUUGCUGACGCUGA
rnacentral:rRNA from 1 species